rnacentral:rRNA from 1 species
GAUGAACGCUGGCGGCGUGCUUAACACAUGCAAGUCGAACGAACGACUAUUAACAGAACCUUUCGGGGCGAAGAUGAUAGAAGUUAGUGGCGGACGGGUGCGUAACGCGUGGGUAAUCUGCCUUUGUCAAAGGAAUAACUAUUCGAAAGAAUAGCUAAAACCGUAUAACAUAUUAAUAGGGCAUCCUAAUAAUAUCAAAACGAUAGUGGACAAAGAUGAGCCCGCGUCUGAUUAGCUAGUUGGUGAGAUAAAAGCCCACCAAGGCAACGAUCAGUAGCCGACCUGAGAGGGUGAACGGCCACAUUGGAACUGAGACACGGUCCAAACUCCUACGGGAGGCAGCAGUGGGGAAUAUUGCACAAUGGGGGGAACCCUGAUGCAGCAACGCCGCGUGAGUGAAGAAGGCAUUCGUGUCGUAAAACUCUGUAGUAGGGGAAGAAAGAAAUGACAGUACCCUAAAAGAAAGCCCC